UUGUGCAUAUGCCAAAUACGGGUGCAGUUCUGCUCUCACAAGCUGUGCUGUGACGCAUGGCUGUCUAACAUCAGUAAUCGUACGGAAGCUCAGCAGCUGCCGCACACGCCACGCCUUGCUGCAGCUCAGCUCCUGCCAGUCACAAAACCAUUUUCAUUUCACAACCCUUUCGCAUGAACAUCUGCUAGUGAAUGGACAACCGUGCUGUGGGUCAAUACUUGUCAUCUGCAAGACUGACGACUUUAAUCUAAGUAGGUGUGCUGGGACAUGGGCAGGCAUGACAGGCAGGCUGCCAAUUCUCAUCUCUGCUUUAAUGGUACGUUCACACCACACAGAGCGAGUGGUGAUGCCACCCUCGCUACUCCAGCCACCGUGGAAGUUCAAGUCCCCAGCUGGUGAAGCAGGCAUUCUUAGAGCUGAUGGACUCAUCUCCCCAUACCAUUAGAUUGGAGUCCUCUGUUAAGCUCCUAUUCCAGCAAGUGUUUCUGAAGUCUGUUUCUCACCAUUGAAAAGCAAGUAGCAUCAUAAUGAGUUUGAAGUUAGACUUGCACGUCAAUGCCUGGUUCAGGCUCCUACCAUCCAGUUUGCGUGCAGAUGCCUCCUUCCAUAAGGAAACCGCAGAGACUGGUAAAGAGGAGGAAUCCCAGCACUUGCUGCACCCUCCACCCCUUGCCUCAAGUUACCACUUCCAGAGGAUUUCUGGAUCUUUAGCUUCUCACUUUCAAUAAUUCCCUCCUGUGCACAGGAAGGGACAGCUCGCUAUGCAACUGAUCAGAGAAAGGCUGGCCCAGGAGAAGUUCAGAGAACCUCUGCAAUCUUGGUUACGAUGCAAGUUGAAGUUAUGAAUAUUGGCUCUAUAUGGACUGUAUUUCAAACUUCUGCUCUGCUUCUUGAUGACAUCCCAGACAAGUUGGUGUCAGCUCUGCCUAGCCUGCUUGAUGACCCAUUAAGAGCCAUCAGCUAUACAACUGACCCAUUGAGAGAAGGCAGACACGCCUUAUGACUCAGCAAGGUAUGCAGGGACCUGCCUAUGGACAGAACUCUAAGGUAUUUCUAUGCCAUGUGCUGGAUAGCAUGUCCUUGGGACAAAAGAAAGCAAAGACCACAUGGCAAGAGACUAUAAAGGGCUGAUGCCUCCUCUCCAUCUGGUCUUCAAUCCUGCUUCAUACCUCCGGAGAGACUUUGCUACAAACGGAAGCUCUAAACAAAGGACGGAUGACCCAUCCCAGCUGUCGAUGUACUCCAGGGACUUGAUUUGAACCUGCAGUUUAUUCUGUGACUGCUACAAGCCUGAACCAAGAACUUUGCCAUCACUGGAUGUAAUUGAUUCCAUUUAACCAAAUUCUAGCUCAUCUAUAUAUUUCAUUUUAUGAAAAAGCCUUUAGAUUCUAAAGGAUUGGCAGUGUUAUUUGUGGGUGAAAUCUGAUUUGUAUAAGGACCUGGGUCUGGGGCUUGGUCCUUUGGGACUGAGAGAACUUUUUUCUUUUACUGGGGUAUUGGUUUUCAUAACCAUUCAUCCCCAUAACGAGUGGCACUGGUGGGGAUACUGGGAAACUGAAGUGUUUAAGGGAAUUGCUUGUGUGACUUGUGGUUAGCCAGUGGGGUAAAACCAAAGACCUCUCUGGCUGGUUUGGUUUGCCUUAGAGGUGGAAAAACCCCAGUCUUGGGCGGUAACUGCCCUGCUUUAAGCAAUUUGUCCUGAAUUGGCACUCUCCGGUGGGUCCCGCCAGAACCAGCAUUGUUACAGUGAUAUAAGGAGGUUUUGCUUCACCAAAGAUCAUUAAAGGCACACUUGCCCUCUCUCAAGGUUAGUACAACGUUUGACCCCUCUUAUAACCCCCAAAACUCCUUUAAGUUUGCAAAGCCUAUGUAUUAGGCAUUUAACAACCAUUUUCUUCCCCUAUAAUAAAGAUGUCAGCAUUCACUAGCAGGCCCUAGACAAGCAGAGUGCUGUGGCAGGGAGAGACUAAAUCCUUGGUAUAAAAACCAGGUUCCUGUUUAAGGGUUAUUUAAAGACCACUGGUUAGACAUGUUCUGACCUACCACAAGCUUUUCUCAGAACCCCAAGGGGCUUGGUUACCAUGGUACUGAAUCAUGGUUCUUGCAUCUGAAGUGGUGUUUUACUCACGAAAGCUUAUGCCCAAAUAAACCUGUUAGUCUUUAAGGUGC